rnacentral:rRNA from 1 species
AGAGUUUGAUCAUGGCUCAGGACGAACGCUGGCGGUGCGCCUUAUGCAUGCAAGUCGAGCGAAGCUUUUCAGUAGUUUACUACAGAAAAUGACUGAGCGGCGAACGGGUGAGUAACGCGUGAGCAACCUACCUUAGUUACUGGGAUAGCCCGAGGAAACUCGGAUUAAUACCGGAUAUUCUUAUUUAAUCACAUGAUUUUUUAAGGAAAGGUCAGCCGAACUAAGAUGGGCUCGCGUUCUAUCAGCUAGUUGGUAGGGUAAUGGCCUACCAAGGCUACGACGGAUAGCUGGUCUGAGAGGACGAUCAGCCACACUGGGACUGAGACACGGCCCAGACUCCUACGGGAGGCUGCAGCAGGGAAUAUUGCGCAAUGAGCGAAAGCUUGACGCAGCGACACCGCGUGUGGGAUGACGGAUCUAGGUUUGUAAACCACUUUCAGGAGGGAAGAAAAUGACGGUACCUCCACAAGAAGCCCCGGCCAACUACGUGCCAGCAGCCGCGGUAAUACGUAGGGGGCGAGCGUUGUCCGGAUUUAUUGGGCGUAAAGAGCUCGUAGGCGGUUCAACAAGUCGGUCGUGAAAGUUCAGGGCUCAACUCUGAAAUGUCGAUCGAUACUGUUGUGACUAGGAUACGGUAGAGGUGAGUGGAAUUCCGAGUGUAGCGGUGAAAUGCGUAGAUAUUCGGAGGAACACCAAUUGCGAAGGCAGCUCACUGGGCCGCUAUCGACGCUGAGGAGCGAAAGCUAGGGGAGCAAACAGGAUUAGAUACCCUGGUAGUCCUAGCUGUAAACGAUGGAUACUAGACGUAGGAACUGGAUUGACGGUUUCUGUGUCGUAGCUAACGCGUUAAGUAUCCCGCCUGGGGAGUACGGUCGCAAGACUAAAACUCAAAGGAAUUGACGGGACCCCGCACAAGCGGCGGAGCAUGCGGCUUAAUUCGAUGAUACCCGUAGAACCUUACCAACGCUUGACAUGUUCGUCGCGAGACUAAGAGAUUAGUUUCUUCAGUUCGGCUGGACGAAACACAGGUGCUGCAUGGCUGUCGUCAGCUCGUGUCGUGAGAUGUUGGGUUAAGUCCCGCAACGAGCGCAACCCUCACUUUUAGUUGCCAUCAUUUAGUUGGGCACUCUGAAAGAACUGCCAGUGAUAAGCUGGAGGAAGGUGGGGAUGACGUCAAGUCCUCAUGGCCCUUACGUGUUGGGCUACACACGUGCUACAAUGGCAUUUACAAUAGGAAGCAAGAUGGCGACGUCAAGCAAAUCCUAAAAAGAUGCCUCAGUUCGGAUUGUACUCUGCAACUCGAGUACAUGAAGCUGGAAUUACUAGUAAUCGCGGAUCAGCGCGCCGCGGUGAAUACGUUCCCGGGUCUUGUACACACCGCCCGUCACACCAUGGGAGUUGGUUCUACCUUAAGGCAAGGUUUCAAACCCUU